UACGUAGGGUGCAAGCGUUGUCCGGAAUUACUGGGCGUAAAGCGUGCGCAGGCGGUUAUGUAAGACAGAUGUGAAAUGCCCGGGCUUAACCUGGGAACUGCAUUUGUGACUGCAUGGCUAGAGUGUGUCAGAGGGGGGUAGAAUUCCACGUGUAGCAGUGAAAUGCGUAGAUAUGUGGAGGAAUACCGAUGCGAAGGCAGCCCCCUGGGAUAACACUGACGCUCAUGCCACGAAAAGCGUGGGGGAGCAAACAGG
rnacentral:rRNA from 1 species